rnacentral:lncRNA from 1 species
AAUCAAUUAAUGCCCUAGAAUAAUGUAAUUUUUCUACCAAAAAGGGUUGACAUUUCCUUAAUUGGUCAUUCUCAUCCAAAGCAGAAAAGCUAUUCCAAGGCAGACACCAAAAUGGCAAACAACUUUUUCUGAAAGACAGCACUUUUGACCCUUAAUCAGCUUGCUGAAUUCGCAGCCUUCGCGGCGCGAAGGCAGUUCGC